CUACGGGGUGCAGCAGUGGGGAAUAUUGGACAAUGGGGGCAACCCUGAUCCAGCAAUGCCGCGUGUGUGAAGAAGGCCUUCGGGUUGUAAAGCACUUUCGGUGGGGACAAACAUGUCCGGCCUAAUACGCCGGACGCUGAUGGUACCCAAAGAAGAAGCACCGGCUAACUCUGUGCCAGCAGCCGCGGUAAUACAGAGGGUGCAAGCGUUAAUCGGAUUUACUGGGCGUAAAGCGUGCGUAGGUGGUUUGAUAAGUCAGGUGUGAAAUCCCUGGGCUCAACCUGGGAACUGCAUUUGAAACUGUCGGACUCGAGUGUGGUAGAGGGUAGUGGAAUUCCCGGUGUAGCGGUGAAAUGCGUAGAUAUCGGGAGGAACAUCAGUGGCGAAGGCGGCUACCUGGACCAACACUGACACUGAGGUACGAAAGCGUGGGGAGCAAACAGGAUUAGAUACCCGCGUAGUC
rnacentral:rRNA from 1 species